AAAAUGAUACCAAUCUAGAGAUCUCUGGGUGAUCUAUGAAUGUGUGAGUGUGUCUUGUUUGAAUGUUCAAGGCACACAGCCUAAAUGUGUGUGAUGAAGUGAAUGUGAAUUUUAUGACCAUAUGGUUAGUUUAGUUCAACGUUCUCUCUAGGGGCAGUGGUGAGGUGAGUGGCUUCUGUUAUGAUCUAUGCAAGGGUGUAGAUGGGCACCCCACUAUUCAUGUGUAGAUGGAGUGUUGUGCUCUAGAGAGGAGAGACCUGCCCUUGGGAUCUGGGGUUACUCAGAAGAUCUGGGGCUUUGUGAUUUUCCGCUGAUGUUUGGGCUGGAGCCAUGGGAGGUGAUUUUUGUACUUAUGGAGGAUGAAUCAGCUCCCAGGCCUGGUUACCUGGAGAACAGGGGAUAGUAUUUGGAGCAUCGUGGGGGUAAUUUAGGCUUCUUAGGACCUACAAUGGGGAAUUUUAUGAGUCAGCUUGGCUAGGCUAUGGUGCCUAGUUUGCUUGAUUAGACAUGAAUCUAGAUGUUUCCAUAAAGAUAGUUUUAUUUAUUUAUUUUUUAAAGUUUCCAUAGUUUUUUUGGGGAAACAGGUGGCAUUUGGUUACAUGAAUAAGUUCUUUAGUGGUGAUUUGUGAGAUUUGAGUGCACCCAUUGCCCAAGCAGUGUACACUGAACCUGAUUUGUAGUCUUUUAUUCCUCACCCCCUUCCCACCCUUUCCCCUGAGUCCCCAAAGUCCACUGUGUCACUCUUAUGCCUUUGCAUCCUCAUAGCUUAGCUCCCACUUAUGGGUGAGAACAUAUGAUAUUUGGUUUUCCAUUCCUGAGUUACUUCACUUAGAAUAAUAGUCUCCAAUCCCAUCCAGGUUGCUGCAUAUGCCAUUAAUUCAUUCUAUAAAGGUGUUUUGUAGAUGUGAUUAUCAUUUAAAUCAGUAGACUUUGAGUAAAGCAGAUUACCUCCACGAUAUGGACGGGUCUCAUCCAACCCAUCGAAAGCCUUCAGAGAAAAGACUAAGGUCUCUCCAAGAGAAGGGAAUUCUGCCUCUUGACUAUCUUCAGACUCAAGGCUGCAACAUUGACUCCUGCUAAAAUUUCCAGCCUGCCAGCUUGCUCUACAAAAUUUGGACUUGCCAGCCCUCACAAUCACAUCAGCCAGUUCCUUAAAAGAAAUCUCUAGCUAUGUCAUACAUCCAAUUGGUUUUGUCUUUCUGGAGAGCCAUGACUAAUACAGAACCCUACUGGAUCCUGUGUGGAAACUUCAGCUUGGGUUCUUGGGGCUACUGGAGGAAACUUCACCUGGAACUGUGGGCAGCUAUGGGGAUUUGUAGUGCAGCUGCCACUUCCAGGGCAGCCUUAAGUCCCUAGUUCACUCAGGCUAUGAUGCCCUGUGGGUUGUGUAUAGGCUUCAGUGGGUUAUGGUAGCUCAUGUCCCUUUGGCUUUUAAGUCUUAUAGGUGACAGGUGAGUGGUUUGUACAGAUUGAGUAUCCAUUAUCCAAAAUACUUGAGACCAGAAGUGUUUUGGAUCCUAGAUUUUGGAAUAUUUGCCUAUACAUAAUGAGAUAUCUUGAGGAUAGGACCCAAGUAUAAACAUGGAAUGUAUUUAUGUUUCAUAUAUAUCUUAUACACAUAGGCUGAAGGUAUAUUUUAUACCACAUUUUAAAUAAUAUUUUGCAUGACACAAAGUUUGAUUACAUUGAGCCAUCAGAAAGCAAAUGUGUCACUAUGUCAGCCACCCAUGUGGACGGUCUGUUGUUGUCUGGCAUCACCAUCAUUCCUGACUUUAUAUGCUACCAAUAAGCAAUAAUUUUCUUAUGCACACAUAAGUAUUUGCCAGUGAAAAAUAUAACCUACCAUUAAUAUAGGUGUAUUAAUGUGUUUAGGGUAACUAAGCAGCACAGUGCCAUCACCAGAAUAAACAACAGCAACAACAAACAAUGGCAGGCUUUCAGUUUCCACCUGUGGUGCUAUGUUUUGAUUAAAAGAUUAUUGUCCACUGUAUUUUUUUUUCAGGUGAGAAGAAAUAGCAAAAGCAGUUGAGGGACCAAGUAGUGGGUCCUGUAGGGAUAAGGAAGCAUUCUGUUGGAUGGCUUUUAAAAAUGUUCCUUCCAGAAUUGCCUACUUCAUUAAUAAAUGGUUUUUGUCUUAGAAGUCUCUGAUUUUAUAAAUUGACAUGAUUUCUUGUUCUGUUAUGGAUUCGUCAUGUCCUUCAAUAAGCCCAUCACCCAUUUUCACCAUGUUUUCUAUAGGCACUUUUUCUACAGUGUUAACCAUGUCAUCUUCUUAUCGCUAUUUUCACAAUCACCUUGAUUGAGAACCAUUCUGGCUAUUUCAAGUCAAGAUAGAACAAGUGGAGUCUCAUUGAUGUUAAAAAAAACUUCUUUGAUAUCUACUUCCAUCUUACUGGCAGACUGAAGGUUGUGUCACACCUUUUCCUGAACUUUGGCUCAAUUGAAGAAGGAAACUUUCAGGGGAAUUCCAAUAGUAAACAACAGAACCAGCAGUUUUACAAUAAACUGCAGAGCUCCAUUUCAAAACACAAAAAUAGAGCGUCUCUGCAGUGAUGUACUGCCUUAAGGAAGGUAGAUUCCACCUUUGAAGGAGUCUUACAAAACCAUUGCCUUUAUCUACAUUUAGCAGGUAAAUGCAAUGAUUAAAUAUGAAGAAGAGCAUUGACAAGAUGAAAUGGGCUCAUUCUCAGCAAUGUUAUUUCAAAAAGAAAACCUGAGUGAUUCACGUAUUCAUAUGUCCAUCUGAAAAUGUCCUUCUCUCAACAAACUACUCAGUGAAAACUCAUCUUCAUAUAGUUAAUGCUGGAGUGCUAAUAAACUGUUGCAAAUUUCAAAAA